rnacentral:lncRNA from 1 species
CCCUGAGUUUUUAAAUUGAUUCCUGGAAGAUUCCUCUUUUAAAUAAAGUAGGCUAUAGAACAAAAGAUACUGAAUUAUAAUCUCAAUUUUCCCUUUACUUCUCAGUUUUAUACUUUCCCUCGAUUCUUGUUUCUUCCUAUGUAAAAUGGAAAAGUUUCAACAGAAUCAUUUCUAGCUGGGAUGUCUUGAUAACCAGGUUAGAUAAACCAAUCUGAAUAUUUCAAGAGCCAAAGAGUAAUUAUACAUUUAUAACUCUGCAGCAGAAGUAAGCCUAAAAUUCUAAUUUUCUUUGUUUUUAGGCUGAAAAUAUAUGGUUACACUCAUUCUCUGAUAUUGAUAUGAUUAACUGCUUGUGAGUUCAUGAUGGAAAGCUCAUGGAGGAGACAAUUUUGAAAAGAGUCUCUGGAGCAGAUCACUCAAGAUCUCUAACAAGAUCGAAAUCUGGGGUUCAGCCUGUGCUCCAGUCUCAUUUAAAGGCUUGACUAAGCCAUCAACAGAUGAAUGGGUGAAGAAGAUGUGGUAUAAGUAUGCAAUGGAAUACUAUUCGGCCAUAAAAAAGGAUGAAACAAUGCCAUUUGCAGCAACAUGGAUGGACCUAGAGAUUAUCAUACUAAGUGAAGUAAGUCAGAAGAGAAAGAAAAAUACCACAUGAUAUCACUUAUUUAUGGAAUCUAAAAUAGGACACAAUGAACAUAUUUACAGAACAGAAACAGACUCACAGACAUAGAGAACAGACUUGUGGUUGCCUAAGGUGAAGGAGGGUGAGAGAAGGAUAGACUGGGAGUUUGGGAUUAGCAGAUGGAAACUAUUAUAUACAGAGGGAUAAACAAUAAUGCCCUACUGUACAGCACUGGGAACCAUAUUUAAUAUCCUGUAUAAACCAUAAUGGAAAAGAAUCUGAAAAAAGAUAUAAAUCUGCAUAACUGAAUCAUUUUGCUGUACAGCAGAAAUGAACAACAUUGUAAAUCAACUAUAUCACAAUCAAACAAAAUUUUUAAAAAAGACUUGAAUAAGAAGGAUCUGCUUCCAAGUUCUCUCAUGUAAUUGUUGGCAGGAUUCAGUUCCUAUUGGGCUGUUGGACUAAGUGCCUGGUUUCUUGUUGGCCAAUGGCUGGAAUCCUCCCUCGGUUCCAUGCCACCUGGGGCUUUCCAUAAGGCAGUUCACAACAUGACAAUUGGCUUCCCUUAGUGAGGGAAGAGAGGGCAAAAGAUGAUGAAAAAGAUGGAGAACACAGUCUUUUGGUAACCACAGUCUUUUUCUAAUGUUGGAAGCUGCAGCCCAUCACUUUAGCUGUCUUCUCUUUGUUAGGAGUAAGACAUUAGGUCAAGCCCACUCUCAAAGGGAUGGGAUUACACAAGGAACUAAAUACCAACAGGAGGAAUAACUGGGGGCCAUUUUAUAGAGGCUGCCUAUCACUAUUAUUACCAAUUUUUAAAAAAUGUGUGAAGAUCAUGUUUAAAUGAUAGAUUUUAUCAUUUCUUUUUCUCCUUUAACUCAUGAUUCCAUUCUAUUAUUUUCCUCUGAAUCUUGUCCUAAUGUAAUAUAUAUUUAAACUUGGGAUUAUUUUCUUGAUUUCCUUAUUAUAUAUCACUAUAAGAAAGUAUGUGUAUAAACUAAUUUUUUUUUUUUUUUUUUUUUUUUUUUUUUUUUUUU